AAAAUUUUAGAGAAAUUUGACAAGGAAUGGGGAUUGGAAAAGCAACAUCUCCGAUGAUGUAUUUACCUCUACAAAGAAUACUAUAGAAACAUUAUCCCAUUAUUCUACUCAGAUUAUAGCAGUCUAAUGUACGUUAAUGAUUGUCUAGACCUGAUAUUGCUUUAUGGUUAGUUUGAGUCGCUUUUACUAUAAUCUUGGAGAUAUCAUUGGAAGGCAAUAAUUCGAGUUUUUAGGUAUCUUAGAUAUACACAAAACUAUGAAUUUUUUUUCUGGAUACCUGCAAUACCUGAGGGAUAAUUGUGAUGCAAUUGGAUCUCAACUCUAAAGACUCUAAAUUCACAAGUGGUUAUGUCUUCAACUAUGUAGGUGGCUGCAGUAUCCUAGAAAUCCGCUAAACAAACAUGUAGUGCUAGAUCUACUAGUAGAAUAAGUUUAUUGCUCCUAGACAAAGCCGGAGAAGAGGCUGAAUGAUUAACAAUUUUUAGAGGAAUUUUCAAAUUGUCAAAACCUUGCCUACUGUGUGUAUACAUUGUGAUGUCAAUCACAAUUGUAAGGGGCACAAGUAAAUUUUGUAUAAUGGUAGUCUAGACAUAUUCGUCAUAAACACAUACUAUUAACAACUUCUCUCUAAUGGUGUUAUUUCUAUAGAUUAUGUACAUCUAAGAAUAACAUUGCGGAUCCGCUUACAAAGGUUUUAUCUAGAGAGUAAGUUAUAAUUUUCCGAGGGGAAUGAAUUAAAGCCUCUAGUCAAGAGUGCCAUAGUGAAAACUCCACCUAGUUGACUGGAGAUCCCAAGAUCUAUUGGUUCAAAAGGGAUAAAACGUACACAAUGGUGUACUCAGUGGUAUAGCACAUGUGGUAGAAAAGGGUAAAACCUUUUUGACCUACCUGUUUCCCUAUGAUUAACAACGUGCUAUUCUGUAUGAGCAUUUAGGCUAAGUAUAACUUUUAAUGACACUGUAUCUUAAAAUAUUUAAGUGGGUAUUGCAGAAUACUCUAAAAUAAGAUGUCACACCUAUGUGAGUGUGGAUUGGGGCCGUUCCUAAUGAGAAGUUUGGGCUGAAUUCUCUAGAGCACUCAGAAAAUCAGGUGUUGUUUUUAUGGCCAAAAUGAACACAAGCAUGAGAACCAAAAGUGUUCGGAGUUAUCGUGGCAUAUUGUUGUCUUGGUUUACACUCAAAGCUGGACAGGUUCCACGGGCGUCAUUUCCACUGUUUGGGCGAGUAAUCCGAUAGUAUGUCACUAAGGAAGUUCACGGCCGAAAGCUUAAACCUCUCCUUGAUGCGGUAAUUCUCCAUUUCUUCUCUCUCUCUUAGAGAAUACAUUUCAUUACAUCGAUCAAUUUCCCAUUUAUGGUGGUGGUUGUUAGAAUUUAGUUUUUAUAAUUUUGUGAACACACUUGUGGGACUAUAUAUUUAAUUAAGUUCUACACUAAUUAAUGAACCAAUGAUAGAUUCAUGUUCGCCAAAUGAGUAGAUGAUUUUAGUGUAUUUCAUUUGUGUCCCAACCCAAGUUAAUUUAAUUGAAUGAGAAAUUGUUUCUCAAAGAAGCUUCAAUGCAAGGAAAAAAUGGUUGACUAGACAGGUUGUCCCACAUGAGAAAAAGAAAGGAAGUUGGUAAACUAUAAAGCCCAAGUAUGGAUUUUUUAAAUUGUGCCCUUGGGCACCACAAGUUUUUAAAUGGAGGAGUUAUUAUAAAGUGGGCCUGAUCCUUUAGCCUAUGGUAGUUUAUGAUGUGACCCAUGGUGCGGCGGCGCCGUAGCCGCCCGCCCGUCCCGACCCGACCCGGCCCGUUCGUUCGUGUUCGUGUUCGUGCGGGGUUGCCGGCUUGGGCUGGGCUUUGGGCUUAAUUGAUACUAAUUUUUUUGGAAAAAAUUUUAUCAAUUAUCUUAAUUUUUAAAUUAAGAAAGUACAUAUUUUCUUCCCCGGAAAUAACUUCCUUUGCGAACAGUCACACUGUUUCGAAUUUAACGAAGCGGUAAUUUCGAAUUUUUUUCCAGAUUAUUUUCCUUCAAUCCGCGAACAGGUGCACUUUCAAUUUGUGGCAGAAAGGUCGCCUGUGCACAGUUUUCGUCCGAAAGUGUGUCGUGAUUUGGGGCCGAAUAAGGUUUGCCUUUUCCAAAGAGAUGUGACUCUCUAAAAUGUGGGUUAUCUUCUAUAGAUACCUCCACCAUCCCAACAUAAUCGUCAUCAUUCGAAAUUAUAAGAGCCAGCAUUUAGAGAGUGCUAGAGCAUCCAUCAUUUCCUAGUUUUCAUUUGAGAGAGAGAAGACACUUGAAAAUGUUUCGACGUGAAAAAUCUUCUGAUUUGGAGUACUACUAUCCGAAGAUCGUUGCUUUGUUUCCUGAGAGUCGUACAACAUAUUCCGUAAGUACCAAGUGGCUGGUUGUAACGACUUAAGUGACACUGAAUUUAUUCAGGCCUCAGCCAAUUUAAAUUCUACAUCCUGAGUUGUUUUGUUAAUUAUCACAUUUCUAAUUCUGUUCUCUUCUUCUUCUAUU
rnacentral:lncRNA from 1 species